rnacentral:tRNA from 1 species
AAAGAUGUGGCUCAGUUGGAAGAGCACUUGCCUAGCAUGCUUGAAGUCCUGGGUUCAAUUCCCAGCACUUGA